UGUUCCUACGGGAGGCAGCAGUGGGGAAUAUUGCACAAUGGGCGCAAGCCUGAUGCAGCCAUGCCGCGUGUAUGAAGAAGGCCUUCGGGUUGUAAAGUACUUUCAGCCGUGAGGAAGGUACUGGCGUUAAUAGCAGUAAGGAUUGACGUAGCGACAGAUGAGCCCUUC
rnacentral:rRNA from 1 species